rnacentral:rRNA from 1 species
AUGAGGUGCUUGCACCUUAUCUUAGCGGCGGACGGGUGAGUAAUGCUUAGGAAUCUGCCUAUUAGUGGGGGACAACAUUCCGAAAGGAAUGCUAAUACCGCAUACGUCCUACGGGAGAAAGCAGGGGAUCUUCGGACCUUGCGCUAAUAGAUGAGCCUAAGUCGGAUUAGCUAGUUGGUGGGGUAAAGGCCUACCAAGGCGACGAUCUGUAGCGGGUCUGAGAGGAUGAUCCGCCACACUGGGACUGAGACACGGCCCAGACUCCUACGGAGGCAGCAGUGGGGAAUAUUGGACAAUGGGGGGAACCCUGAUCCGCCAUGCCGCGUGUGUGAAGAAGGCUUAUGGUGUAAAGCACUUUAAGCGAGAGCUACUGAGACUAAUACUCUUGGAUAGUG